GACGAACGCUGGCGGCGUGCCUAAUACAUGCAAGUAGAACGCUGAAGAGAAGAGCUUGCUCUUCUUGGAUGAGUUGCGAACGGGUGAGUAACGCGUAGGUAACCUGCCUGGUAGCGGGGGAUAACUAUUGGAAACGAUAGCUAAUACCGCAUAAAAUUGAUUAUUGCAUGAUAAUUAAUUGAAAGAUGCAAUUGCAUUACUACCAGAUGGACCUGCGUUGUAUUAGCUAGUUGGUGAGGUAACGGCUCACCAAGGCGACGAUACAUAGCCGACCUGAGAGGGUGAUCGGCCACACUGGGACUGAGACACGGCCCAGACUCCUACGGGAGGCAGCAGUAGGGAAUCUUCGGCAAUGGGGGGAACCCUGACCGAGCAACGCCGCGUGAGUGAAGAAGGUUUUCGGAUCGUAAAGCUCUGUUGUAAGAGAAGAACGGGUGUGAG
rnacentral:rRNA from 1 species